GAAUACAAAAAGAGUUAUUUUCCUUCUGAGGUCUGUAUUUGCAAUAAAUAAUGAGAUGAAGAUCCAGCAGAUUAGAAGUAGCCAAAUGGAGCUCCAGUGUAAUGUAAUAAUGAAAAUCUCCUGGAAGCUGAAGAAACUGGAGUAUCUUGAGCCUGGUGUGUGAAAUCAAGCAUCUGGAAAACCUUGGAGGCUCCACAAAGAUGUGACUGAUGGGAAGGAAGAAUUCUAUACUCACACAGCAGAGGAUUCCAAACUGUCUGUGUUUGGGGGAAAUGGAAGAUUUAUGUAGCAGUUAACAUGGAGCUGUUUCAGCAAUCACUGUGAAAAACAGUGAUGAACUGCAGUCAAGAUACAGAAGCCAACAAGCAAGUCUGCCCUAGUACUCAAGGGAUGAUCAUCAAAUAUUGUAGAAAGCAGUGGAAGUCAGGAGAAAUAUCUGAUACAGAAGUUCACAGCUAGGGAAGAAGUCUUCACCAGAUUUCCCUGCUUUCCUAUGGGGGCACGAGACCAUCAGAACUUGGAUUUUCGCCUUUAAGAAGCUCAUUAUGCUGAUUUUCAUGCAACCUAAGACUAAAGAUGGAUUCUGGGGAUCAUUUCAGAGUAAUACACUUGCAUAUGUAGAUAUGUAGCCUCUCCUGUAAAUGAGCGUAGAUCCAUUAUUGAUAAUAAUGAAAAGGGAGUGCAGAGAUUCUGAUCUUCAACUCUAGAAUGGCACCUCUGUAUCUCAAAUAGUCCCAUUUGAGUUAGCAGUGUAUUAACCCCACUAUGUAGUUUGAACUUUAUCUGUGAAUAGCUUCAGGUCCUCCAUCAGUUCUGUCUUGUGGAUUUUUUUCAUGGAUGCAUCACAUCAUAAAAACAGCAAUGCAAACUAUAAUCAGAAGGGAGACAGAAACCAAAAUCUGAGUAAAGGAUAAAUAAGUUUCAUAGAUUCUAUGCUGCAACCAUUUAAUUUACACCCAUCUCUAUGUAGGAAACAAAUCUGCACCAAAAAGUAAAAUUGUCUGCAGGUUAUUAUAUAAAUA